AGUGGGCGGGGCCAUGGGGCUCAAGGGCUGAGCAAAUCUGAACAGCAGGCAGUGGACGUAGUCAUGGGGCUCAAGGGCGGAGCAAACAUCAACAGCUGGUGGUUUAACUGACGCUGCUGCACUGGAUACCCCACCCCGGUGCCGGGCACAUAGGUGCAGCCUGAGAGUAAGCAGACCUGGGUUGGAAGGUCCCGCGAUUCACCACCGACAGGAUGGGCGGCCUUGGCAACCCCCGACCCCUCGCAGGCCUGUUCCCUUAUCCAUGAGAUGGAACUCGGACAAGGUGGCCACAGGAAGGCUUUGCAAACUGUGAAGUGCAGUGCCUACGUGGGCGUGCCAGUGGCCUCGCCGGAGCCGGUAGGGAACACUCUGCAGUCCAGGCCAGGGCCCCGGUAGGACACCCAGCUGUGCAUCCCGCCCGUGGCCGCAAGGCCCGCACCUUGGCCAACAGGAGCAGGGUGCGGCUGGUGCGGGCGUCCGCGUGGCGCUCCCGCAGGUGGAAGAGCUUGGGCGACAUGAUGGCGGGAGAGAAGAAGCGCAGGCACAGGAAGCUGGUGACGGCGAUGAACGAUCAAACUGUUGAGGGUCCACAAACAGGCUGAAGACCUCGUCUG
rnacentral:lncRNA from 1 species